rnacentral:rRNA from 1 species
UACGACUACAUAUAGGCAUAUCAAUAAGCGGAGGAAAAGAAACUAACAAGGAUUCCCCUAGUAACGGCGAGUGAAGCGGGAAGAGCUCAAAUUUGAAAUCUUAAAGGGUUUCCCUUUACGAAUUGUAGUUUAAAGAAGUGUUUUCUGUUGGAGUUUCGGUAAAAGUUCUUUGGAAUAGGACAUCAUAGAGGGUGAGAAUCCCGUAUUUGACCGUUACUUUCCAGCUGUGUGAUACACUUUCAAAGAGUCGGAUUGUUUGGGAAUGCAGUCCAAAAUGGGUGGUAAAUUUCAUCUAAAGCUAAAUAUUGGCGAGAGACCGAUAGCGAACAAGUACCGUGAGGGAAAGAUGAAAAGAACCUUGAAAAGAGAGUUAAACAGUACGUGAAAUUGUCAAAAGGGAAGCGUUUGACACCAGUGUUGUUUUCUCGAAAAUCAAUUAAAAAUAAUUUGAUUUUGUAUUGUUAAGACCUUAUCAGCUUACUGUACUUUUUUCUUGCUCUUUUUAAUGCACUUUUCGUUUAACAAGUCAACAUCAAUUUCUUUUGUUGUAAAAGGGUCAUUGGAAGGUGGCUUUCACUUCGGUGAAAGUGUUUAUAGCCUUUGGCUUCUGCAAUCGGAGAGAUUGAGGUCUGCAGCGUAGAUCCUUCGGGGUUAGAUACGUAGAUGCUAAGUUAUAGUUUUUUAUAGACAACUUGUUGACUAUAAUUAAUCAUGUAGCUUACUCGUUUGCGCUAUUUUACCUACGCUUAGGAUGUUGAACGCGCACAGAGUCUC